GAAUGGAUGAACUUGAUGAUUGCCCUUUGUCAAAAGGCUUAUUAGUCUUUAAAUCUACCAAUUUGGACGGCAUUGGUGGAGGGAGCUUUGGAAAUUCUGCCAAAGCUGCAUAUUUGUUUUGGAACGGUGAUUGAAGUUCCGAUUUUAGUGCAGGCCUCUGAGGGACUGAUGGUCUUAAGGGAUUUGUUGAAGCUGACGGGAGAUCAAAUGGUCUAGCCAUCUUGGUUUGUUCUGGUUUGCUGCUUACUUGGAUUUUCCCCAAUGUGGUGGGUCUCAU
rnacentral:lncRNA from 1 species